ensembl:lncRNA
UGAGAAGUUAGACUUCAGCGGUAUCACCUUCCUUUUGUGCAGACGGCAGGAUUGUCAUCGCUAAUGAACUGUGUACGCAUGACGAGCUUCUCACCAGGGAUCUGAAGACGAGACACCAACUACAUUCUUGUUGUCAUCACUCCAGCUGGGGAAGCUGCACAACUAAAUGGGACUCCCAGACAACUUUGUGAUGUUUUAUUCAGGUAUGUGACACUGUUUUAUAAUAAUCCGUAAUCUGGGUUUUCUGGGUUUUACAGU